rnacentral:rRNA from 1 species
GAUGAACGCUGGCGGCGUGCUUAACACAUGCAAGUCGAACGGAAAGGCCCAAGCUUGCUUGGGUACUCGAGUGGCGAACGGGUGAGUAACACGUGGGUGAUCUGCCCUGCACUUCGGGAUAAGCCUGGGACACUGGGUCUAAUACCGGCUAGGACCACUUCUUGGUUGUUGUGGUGGAAAGUUUUUUCUGUGUGGGAUGAGCUCGCGGCCUAUCAGCUUGUUGGUGGGGUAAUGGCCUACCAAGGCGUCGACGGGUAGCCGGCCUGAGAGGGUGUACGGCCACAGUGGGACUGAGAUACGGCCCAGACUCCGACGGGAGGCAGCAGUGGGGAAUAUUGCACAAUGGGCGCGAGCCUGAUGCAGCGACGCCGCGUGGGGGAUGACGGCCUUCGGGUUGUAAACUCAUUUCGCUAGGGACGAAGCGUUUUGUGACGGUACCUGGAGAAGAAGCACCGGCUAACUACGUG